rnacentral:rRNA from 1 species
UAGUAGCUGCGAGUGAAGCGGGAAAAGCUCAAAUUUGAAAUCUGGCAGUCUUUUUUUUCUUCUUUGGCUGUCCGAGUUGUAAUCUAGAGAAGUGCUUACCUGCACUGGACCAUGUAUAAGUCUCCUGGAAUGGAGCGUCACAGAGGGUGAGAAUCCCGUCUUUGACAUGGACUGCCAGUGUGUUGUGGUGUGCUCUCAAAGAGUCGAGUUGUUUGGGAAUGCAGCUCUAAAUGGGUGGUAAACUCCAUCUAAAGCUAAAUAUUGGCGAGAGACCGAUAGUGAACAAGUACCGUGAGGGAAAGAUGAAAAGGACUUUGGAAAGAGAGUUAAACAGUAUGUGAAAUUGUUGAAAGGGAAACGCUUGAAGUCAGUUAUGUUGGCUAGGGAUCAACCUAGCUAUUUUUGCUGGGUGAAUUUUCUAGUCUGACAGGCCAACAUCAGUCUUGACUGCUGGAAAAGAGCAGAGGGAAUGUGGCACCUUUGGGUGUGUUAUAGCCCUUUGUCAUAUGUAGCAGUUGGGACUGAGGGAUGCAGCGUGCCGCGAGGCUGGGUUUCGACCACGUUCACGCUUAGGAUGUUGGCUUUUAAUGGCUUCAAUCGACCCGUCUUGAAACACGGACCAAGGAGUCUAACAUGCCUGCGAGUGUUUGGGUGGAAAACCCUUGCGCACAAUGAAAGUGAAAGUUGAGAUCCCUGUCAUGGGGAGCAUCGACGCCCGGACCUGAGCUUUUAGCAAUGGAUCCGCGGUAGAGCAUGCAUGUUGGGACCCGAAAGAUGGUGAACUAUGCCUGAAUAGGGCAAAGCCAGAGGAAACUCUGGUGGAGGCUCGUAGCGAUUCUGACGUGCAAAUCGAUCGUCAAAUUUGGGUAUAGGGGCGAAAGACUAAUCGAACCAUCUAGUAGCUGGUUCCUGCCGAAGUUUCCCUCAGGAUAGCAGAAGCUCAUUAUCAGAUUUAUGUGGUAAAGCGAAUGAUUAGAGGCCUUGGGGUUGAAACAACCUUAACCUAUUCUCAAACUUUAAAUAUGUAAGAACGAGCUGUCACUUGAUUGGACUGCUCGGUGAUUGAGAGCUUCUAGUGGGCCAUUUUUGGUAAGCAGAACUGGCGAUGCGGGAUGAACCGAUCGCAAGGUUAAGGUGCCAGAGUUCACGCUCAUCAGACACCACAAAAGGUGUUAGUUCAUCUAGACAGCAGGACGGUGGCCAUGGAAGUCGGAACCCGCUAAGGAGUGUGUAACAACUCACCUGCCGAAUGAACUAGCCCUGAAAAUGGAUGGCGCUUAAGCGUGACACCCAUACCUUGCU